AAUCAAUGAACUUGUAAAAGUGUAUAUUUUGAAAAUAUAAAAAAGAAAUUCCUAUUUCUAUUGAUUU
rnacentral:tRNA from 1 species